UAGAGAAAGGUUUGGGAAUAGAAAUAAAAUUAGAGGGAUCUCUCCCUUUCACCCUCUACGUCCCUCUCUAUAAUCUUCACCACAGCCUUGUUCUCUCUCCGUUCAGCUGCAUACCGGCACAUCGAAAUCGCCGGCGAAGUCACGGGAAAGCCGAAAGCGCACACAGCUUACCCAAGUCCCAAUUCCCAUAAGUUUAUCUCCAUGUCAGGAAUUGAGAUUCAAACCCACAUCAACCUAAUAUUCAAAAUAGAUGUUAUGGAAGUAGACUCCUUUCAACCUCCAUAGCCAAGAACUUGCUCCCUCAUUUAUUCGGCUUGUUCGUCGGCAAUCGGAGAUUUAAUCGCAUAAAACAUGGCAAAUCAAUACGCAAAUCAAGCAAAGGAGCCUAUCGUGAAAAUCGAAGCGUCCAGGUGAAAUAGCCUCAUCAUGGUCAUAAGCCUACGAGGUUAAGUGAUAGAGUUUGUAUCAGAGUAGCAUAUCAGUUACAUCCUUGAUGAAUCACUAGUCAAUUGUGGAAGUCUAUAACAUGGUGGCAUGUUUCUGUAAAGCUUUUGAUAGUAUAAUUCCACUGCAAAGUUCGUUAUGUAAUAGUUGGUGAAGUAUAUUUUAUUAAACAAUUAAAUAUAUAAUUUU